UGGGGAAUUUUGGACAAUGGGCGAAAGCCUGAUCCAGCAAUGCCGCGUGUGUGAAGAAGGCCUUCGGGUUGUAAAGCACUUUUGUCCGGAAAGAAAUCCUUGGCUCUAAUACAGUCGGGGGAUGACGGUACCGGAAGAAUAAGCACCGGCUAACUACGUGCCAGCAGCCGCGGUAAUACGUAGGGUGCAAGCGUUAAUCGGAAUUACUGGGCGUAAAGCGUGCGCAGGCGGUUUGCUAAGACCGAUGUGAAAUCCCCGGGCUCAACCUGGGAACUGCAUUGGUGACUGGCAGGCUAGAGUAUGGCAGAGGGGGGUAGAAUUCCACGUGUAGCAGUGAAAUGCGUAGAGAUGUGGAGGAAUACCGAUGGCGAAGGCAGCCCCUGGGCCAAUACUGACGCUCAUGCACGAAAGCGUGGGGAGCAAACAGGAUUAGAUGCCCUGGUAGUCCACGCCCUAAACGAUGUCAACUAGUUGUUGGGGAUUCAUUACCUUAGUAACGCAGCUAACGCGUGAAGUUGACCGCCUGGGGAGUACGGUCGCAAGAUUAAAACUCAAAGGAAUUGACGGGGUCAUAGCUGUUUCCU
rnacentral:rRNA from 1 species